CAAAGGAUAGUUUAAAUAAAAAUAUUAGUUUUGGGAAUUAAUGAUAAGAAAUUCUUUCCUUUGA
rnacentral:tRNA from 1 species